rnacentral:rRNA from 1 species
CAAUAGCGUAUAUUAAAGUUGUUGCAGUUAAAAAGCUCGUAGUUGAAUUUCUGGCGGGCGCGCCGGUCUUCCAAGUGUUGUACUGGGCGCAGUCCGCCAUCCUUGUGGAGAGGGCUCGCAUUGAGUUGCGUGUCGGAUCUGCAUCAUUUACUGUGAAAAAAUUAGAGUGUUUAAAGCAGGCUGUCGCUUGAAUACAUUAGCAUGGAAUAAUGAGAUAGGACUUCGGUCUAUUUUGUUGGUUGCGAACCGAGGUAAUGAUUAAUAGGGAUAGUUGGGGGUAUUCAUAUUUAAUUGUCAGAGGUGAAAUUCUUGGAUUUAUGAAAGAUGAACAACUGCGAAAGCAUUUACCAAGGAUGUUUUCAUUAA